rnacentral:sRNA from 1 species
GUCCUCGAUCUGUUGCGGGCAGAUAUAGUGAAUAUGGCUGUCAAAACCGCCUGCGGUCAGGAUGCGCCCCUCGCCGGCGAUCACCUCGGUGCCGGGGCCGACAAUGAUGUCGACGCCGGGCUGGGUGUCCGGGUUGCCGGCCUUGCCGAUGGCGUGGAUCCGGCCAUCGCGCAGGCCGACGUCGGCCUUGUAGAUGCCGGUCCAGUCCAGGAUCAGCGCAUUGGUAAUGACGGUGUCCACGGCACCGGCGGCGCGGGUGGCCUGCGAUUGCCCCAUCCCGUCCCGGAU